ACGCUGACAGAAUGCUUAACACAUGCAAGUCAACUUGAAUUUGGGUUUUUAACUUAGAUUUGGGUGGCGGACGGGUGAGUAACGCGUAAAGAACUUGCCUCACAGCUAGGGACAACAUUUAGAAAUGAAUGCUAAUACCUGAUAUUAUGAUUUUAAGGCAUCUUAGAAUUAUGAAAGCUAUAAGCACUGUGAGAGAGCUUUGCGUCCCAUUAGCUAGUUGGAGAGGUAACAGCUCACCAAGGCGAUGAUGGGUAGCCGGCCUGAGAGGGUGAACGGCCACAAGGGGACUGAGACACGGCCCUUACUCCUACGGGAGGCAGCAGUGGGGAAUAUUGGACAAUGGACCGAGAGUCUGAUCCAGCAAUUCUGUGUGCACGAUGAAGUUUUUCGGAAUGUAAAGUGCUUUCAGUUGGGAAGAAAGAAAUGACGGUACCAACAGAAGAAGUGACGGCUAAAUACGUGCCAGCAGCCGCGGUAAUACGUAUGUCACGAGCGUUAUCCGGAUUUAUUGGGCGUAAAGCGCGUCUAGGUGGUUAUGUAAGUCUGAUGUGAAAAUGCAGGGCUCAACUCUGUAUUGCGUUGGAAACUGUAUAACUAGAGUACUGGAGAGGUAAGCGGAACUACAAGCGUAGAGGUGAAAUUCGUAGAUAUUUGUAGGAAUGCCGAUGGGGAAGCCAGCUUACUGGACAGAUACUGACGCUAAAGCGCGAAAGCGUGGGUAGCAAACAGGAUUAGAUACCCUGGUAGUCCACGCUGUAAACGAUGAUUACUAGGUGUUGGGGGUCGAACCUCAGCGCCCAAGCAAACGCGAUAAGUAAUCCGCCUGGGGAGUACGUACGCAAGUAUGAAACUCAAAGGAAUUGACGGGGACCCGCACAAGCGGUGGAGCAUGUGGUUUAAUUCGACGCAA
rnacentral:rRNA from 1 species